GUGAGGAAUAUUGGUCAAUGGACGAGAGUCUGAACCAACCAAGUCGCGUGAAGGAAGACGGUUCUAUGAAUUGUAAACUUCUUUUGUGCAGGAAUAAAGUGGGUUACGUGUAACCUUUUGUAUGUACUGUACGAAUAAGGAUCGGCUAACUCCGUGCCAGCAGCCGCGGUAAUACGGAGGAUCCGAGCGUUAUCCGGAUUUAUUGGGUUUAAAGGGUGCGUAGGUGGAUUGAUAAGUCAGCGGUGAAAGUUUGCAGCUUAACUGUAAAAUUGCCGUUGAAACUGUCGGUCUUGAGUGCAAAUGAGGUAGGCGGAAUGUGUUGUGUAGCGGUGAAAUGCUUAGAUAUAACACAGAACUCCGAUUGCGAAGGCAGCUUACUGGGAUGCAACUGACACUGAUGCACGAAAGCGUGGGUAUCAAACAGGAUUAGAAACCCCGGUAGUCC
rnacentral:rRNA from 1 species